GGGGGGGCGGCCUGGCAAGGAGCGGGUAAAAAUACACCCCAGAGUGUGGAACGAAGAGUGUGAGAAAUACACCAACAGGCUGAGAACGAAAUCAGGCAAAUAUCCCGUACUAGCCUGGGCUGAGAUCCCUUUGAGGAAGUUCCGUUUGGUAUCUGUCUCAAAAGCAAGAGGAUGAUGCCGGCUACUUUCCGUGCUGGCCAGUGACGGGAUGAGGAGCAAUGGACAUGAACCAAAGCCACAGUAAGUUCCACCUCAACAUGGGGUUAAACUUCUUUAUGUUACUGCAACAGGCUGCCCGUGGAGGUUGUGGAGAGUCCUUCUCUGGAGAGACUCGGAAUCCACCUGGACGUGUCCCUGUGUCACCUGCUGUAGGUGACCCCGCUUUGGCAGAGGGUUCAGACUGGAUGAUCUCCAGAGGCACCUUCCAACCCAAAAAUGUCUGUGAAGUACUGAAAAAAAAAGGCAUCAAACACCCACAUUCCCAGCAUGAGAUCCAGCCCUGUGUCCCAUGUCAGGCAGGCUGGACACAAAAAUGGGGAGCAGAGGGGUGGUGAGGGACUGCAGGGUGGCUGCUGGACGGGCAAGUGUGGGGCAGGUGGGCAGCAGAGCCUUCCACAGGACAGGGAUGACCCAACCUUCACCAUGAUUUAUGUUUUUAAACAGAUGUAUUUUUAAUAUACAACCAGUCAACUAUAACUUGAUUUUGGGAAGCAAGGGCUCCCGUGAAAUUGGGGCUGCCUUAUAUCACAGAAUAAUCUAAGUUGGAAGGGACCCACAGAGAUCAUCGAGUCCAGCUCCUGGCCCUGCACAGGAUCAUCCCCAGGAGUCCCACCAUGUGUCUGAGAGUACUGUCCAAACUUCCUGAACUCUCUUGGUGCUGUGACCCCUUUCAUGUUGCUUAAUCCUAUCCCAGCCUUCUCCCCAUGGCCAGAUGCUGCCUUGCAGUGGUUCAAGGUGAAUCCUCCCAGUCACAGCACCAGCAGGAUCCUUUGAUGCAGGGUACAGGGUAUGUGUGCUCCUGAGCAAAGCUACAGGCAGGCCUCCAAUAAACCUUUGGAAAGCUUCUGCAUGGCUACCUUGUUACAGGGAUCCACCUGGAUCCCUGUCUCCAACUCAUCAUUUUUAGUAUAUAUUUGGCAGUGUGUUGCCUGGGUGAUGGAACACUUUCUCCACCCUGGAAUGCAGAAGUUCUUGGUGGGGGUCAUUGCUGCCCCUGCAUGUGGGGACCUUUUGGCAAAUGGAGCUGGAAGUGCCACCUGUUCCUGGGAUUGAAGUAAUUCUGGGAUGCUUGUUGCACAUACAGGUGGUCUUAUGAGAAAUGGUGUCUCACACAACUUCAGGGGCGGCUGUGUUGAUGAGUUGUAUCUCUGUAUUUCAGUGAAGAAAUCUCUCUAUUGUGGUUGUCUUCUGCUGGUUCCUGUUCUCCGAAAAUCACAAUAUCUGUAACAGACUUAAAGGAUUUUGAACAAGCCUGAAACCCCAAUGCUCUGAAAUCUGGGGCACUUGUAGGAUUUAGCUUAUGCCAGGUUCCUCAAAAAUACCCCCAGGACUAGGCCUUUAUAAAAAAAGAUGGCCCUUGCUUGGGUUUACUAUGGUUAAGAGCUUCAAUAAGCUCUCUUAGUCCUGUUCUUCCACCUCUUCAUCAUCAGUGUCUCUCCUCCUCCUCCUCCAAACUAGAAGGUACUAGAGGGGAUGGGUCAACAUUUCAUGGGUUGUUGUUCACUUUUGGUUUUUAAAAAUUAUUUUGUUGUUUGUUUUUUAUCAUGAGAGCAGCUCUUGUCUGCUUGGUCUUCCCCAUGUGAUUUCCCCUUCCAGGCUCAUACCUUUAUUGAUUGGUGCAAGCAGCUCCUUGUGCGUCAGGUUCUGUUCUUCUGAGGCACCAAACUUUCCCCUCAUAAAGUGCAAGCACUCCAUGUGGCACUCAGGGAGUCAGGCAUUUCAAUGCUCAGUGUUCUUGCAUACUUAAGUACCUUUUAGGCGCUAUUUCUUAAUCUCAAGUGUUAAAAAAUGCUAAAUUCAAGUGGAAAAUAUAGACGAACUUGUUAAACAUUGGUCCCUCUGUGGCUUGCCUAAAGGAAGAAAUUAUAUUGACAUUUUUUCAAGUCAAACUAUUGCACAAACACACUGAAGGGAGGUACAUAAGAAGAGACCUUUACUGGAACACUUUACCCCUAUAGAGAAUCUGCUGGAACAGAAAUCUGAUGAUAUGCAGAAAAAUUACCUCAGUGUUCAAAAUUAUUGGUCCAUGUAGAGUGAAGAAGAAACAAGGAAAAAAAACCAGCUCCAAUCAAGCAUGCUAGAGCAUAACCCUCUCUGCAGAGCUCUUCUCAUAAGAGUCCAAGCCCAUGAAAGAACUGGCAUCAAUAGGUGCUGAAGCCUACUGAAGGCCUUUAAUGUAGCAAGUCAAUGAACUUUGAUGGAGCUGGCUUUUCUGGAAAGUCAGCUGGAUUGCCAGGGUAACCACAUCACAAAAGGAUGCAGGAUGGAAGGAUACAGACAUUUGCUGAAAAGUUCUCUGGGCUUGACAAAAUUAAAUGAAACUGGGUGUCCUAGAAAACAGUUUUCACAUUCAUCGUGUCUCUUGGCUGGAUUCCACAGCAUUACAGAAACAUUUCUACAAGAAUUGAUUAAUUUUCACAUUCUGGGCCCUGGAGAGCUUCCCAUGCUGCUCAGAAUAGGUAGGUUUUUUUGAGUACUGGCUUAGAGGUGAGAUCUAAGCCAGCUGGGCAGGGCCUACAUCCUUUAGUUACACAUUACCAUGCAUAUGACUGAGUCCUGGAUCAACAAGCUGAAAGGAAAGAGAGUGAAAGGACUAUCUGCUAAUUUUAUCCACAUUUAGCAGCAGGAUAUGCAUAUAAAAGCAGAUGAACUGUGGGGACAACAGUAAGCUAAUCUGAGACAGACAGCAAAGGUAAAUCUUUUCUCUGAGACAAAGAAUAACCUUCAUCUGGCCAAUGACUAAACAAAUGGAUCCAAGCUACAGGGUAAGAUUAAAAGCAACAUUCAUCCAGAAUUUAAAGAAGUUUUACACUCAUGAGUUCAGUUCAGACUAAAACAUGGGUUCUUAAGGUCUAAAACAAAAUGUUUCUUAAAGUCUGGGUGAGCUCCUGCCUGGCUCUGUUUGCAACUGCAGUCUUUGCAGAAAAGCCUACCAGUGGCUGCAGGACUUCACCACUUCCAUCUCUCCAGCCAAACCCCUGUUCUUCUUACAUCCUCUGUACUUUCCUGUGCUGGAGCUCUUUGCUCAUGCAGAUACUUCUGCUACUUUACAGAGGUAUUGGGGCUUCAGGAAAACUGCUUGGGAAACUUCUUGUGUGUUCUCCGAAAAAAAGCCCAAAUCUAAAACAAACAGGACCCUCCCUUGCCUCCCAACAUUUCUUAUUCUUCAAAGGGGUUUUUUUCCCCACAUAAAAGUAAGUUCAGGACUCUCACUAUUUGGAGAUGUCAGUUCAAAACCCUGCUCUACCUCUAACUUCUGUGUUUAGAGACUCCAUUAGCCAGGUUAAUGGAUUGUGGGUAUUGCCAACAACUGCAUGACAACUGCAUGACAACUCCACCCCUUCAUUCAUAGAAUCAUAGACUGGUUUGGGUUGGAAGGGACCUUAAAGAUCAUCUAGUUCCUGUCCUCCUGCCAGGGGCCAGAACACCUUUCACUAGAUCAGAUUGCUUCAGGCUCCAUCCUGACCUUGAACACUUCCAGGGAUGGGGCAUCCUCUUUGUUCCAGUGCUCAUCCUUCUCUGUUCCAGUGUCUCACCACCCUCACAGUAAAGAAUUUCUCCCUAACAUCUAAUCUACAUCUAUCCUCUUUAAGCUUAAAACUGAUUCCCCUUGCCUUAUCACUACGUGUAAAAAGCCUCUCUCCUUCAUUUUUAUAAGCCAUUUUAAGUACUGGAAGUCUGCAAUGAGGUCUUCCUGUAGCCUCCUCUUCUCCAUCAAGAGAGGAGCAUUCCCAGCUCCCUCAGCCUGUCUGGGCAGGAGAGGUGCUCCAUCCCUCUGAUCAUCUUCAUGGCCUCCUCUGGGCUCACUCUCACAGGUUCACACUUUUGCUGGGAACCCCAGAGCUGGAUGCAGCACUCCAGGAGGGGACUCAGAGAGCAAAGGGGCAGAAUCACCCCCCUUGACCUGCUGGCCACACCUCUUGAUGCAGCCCAGGAUGUGUUUGGCUUUCUGAGCUGCAGGCGUACACUGUUGGCUCCUGUCCAGCUUUUCAUCCACGAGAACCCAAAGUCCUUCUCCACAGGGCUGAUCUACACGAGUUCUUCUGCCAGUCUGUACUGUCUGGGGUGGCCCUGACGCAGCUGCAGCUCCUUGCACUUGUUGAACCUCAGGAGGUUCUCAUGCACCCACUUCUCCGGUUUGUCCAGCCUCCUCUAGAUGGCAUCCCUUCCCUCUGUUGUGCCAACUGCAUCGCUCAGCUUUAUGCCAUCUGCAAACUUGCUGAGGGUGCACUUGGUCCUACUGUCAUGAGCAAAGAUACUAAAGAGACAGAGCCUCGAGGGACACCGCUCGGCACCAGCCUCUACCUAGGCAUAGAAUCUUUGACCUCAGCUCUCUAGCUGCAUCCAUCCAGUCAAUGCCUUAUCUACCAAACAGUUCACCUUUCAAAUCUGUGCCUCUCCAAUUUGGAGAUAGGGAUGCUGUGUGGAAAUCGCUUGCCUUGUUUCAGCUCUGACUUUGUACCUUGCCCUUUGGAACAAGGAAAAGUGAGCAACCUUGUCUUAGGGCUUGAGAGUAUAAAAUACUUGCAUCACCCCUGGCAGAUGGGCAAUAAGCAUGAAAGUACUGGGACCACAGAAAAGGCAACAGGAGAUAAGAAAUUCCUGAUUUCCACCACCAACUGGUUUUCUGGAAAAGGAGCCUUGUUUUUAAAAUUAGAUUAGGGCACUUCUCAAGGUACAGACUGCAGGUAUUUUGCGAAGAUACCUUGGUGUGUUUCUGUCAAUAGCUACAGCAGAUACAAACUUGUACUUCUGGAUGAAAGGUACUUCAUUUAAAAGUUCCUAACAAGCUCUUGUCUACACAGCACAUCACUGACAUACCCAUCCCGUGUAAAUCUGUGCAAGAAAGACAGGGUUUAUUUUGUCAAAUUAGAGGUAGGAAGCACCCUCCAAGACAUCCUGUACCACAGAUUACCAGUGCAGGAAAAUACACUGAGCCUGGUGGCAAAGGCAAUACAAGGAAAUGGAUACUAGGGAAACUAGGAGGUGUGAAGAACAAGCAAGACCAAAGCUUAUGAAGACGGAAUUAAAAAAAAAAAAUUAAAAAGGAAACUAUCCCAGCUACCACUGAGCUGCUGAGAUCACAAAUUUUUACUCAUGCUCUCCUAAAAUGAAAGCUGCUGAUGCCAAUCUGUACAGAGAGCCUGUGGACUGGAGAAAGGUUGUUCUUCUGUUGGCAGCAAAGCAAACAUUAGCAAAGCCCCAAGUAGGUGAAAGACUCAGUCCUUCCAGAAACAGAGGUCACAGGAGUGUGCCAGCGAUGAGGCUGUCAUUCUGAUUCCUGCCUUCCACUUUCUGCUAAGUGCUGUUUUUCUCAGUCUCUGGGAGGUUAAGGACAGAUGGGAGCCAUUAGAUCUUCACAGCUCCUUUGGGAGCUGUUAGUCAAGCCUGUCACACAUCACAGUCCUUCAAACCUCACCUGUUUACCUUGCCUGAGCCUUGACUGCAGUGUCCCUCAUGCUUUUAACUGUGGUUAGUGCACACCCUUCAGGAACAGGCCUGUCUUGGCUUGGGCACAUCUGGAAAAUGUUCCAACUACCCUGACAGCUUGUUAUGGUGAUUAACCACCUUCAUUCCAAUAAAUUUGUGCCCAGUUUUUCACAUGAAUGUAUCUGAUUUCAGCUUGCUGAAACACAUUCCCAUAAUUUACUAGAUUAAAGAGCCUUUCAGUACCUGAUAUUUUUCUUCCAAGGAAGUUCCUUCACCAUCAUAAUCAAUUCUCUGCUCAGCCUUUUUUGAUAAACUAAAGAGACAAAGUGCUUCAUGUCUCCCAUUGCAAAGCAUUUUCUUCAGGCUCUGAAUCAUUUUGUGUGGCUCUAAUGUUCCACAACCCAUUUUUCAACAUCAAUUUAUAACAUGCAGGCCAUCCCAGUGCUGGUCUCACAAAUACAGUAUGUGCUUAUAUCCAUUUGCUUCUCCCUCAGGACUCUUAAAAAAAAAAAAAUCUAUUCAGAGUCUGAGGCAGAUACAAGCCUGCUUCCUUCUGUCUGGCAUUUGGAGCAACCAAAAAAGAGCCAUCAGUCACCUCUGCUGCUGCUGCUGCCAUCUCAGCAGGUGAGCAGCGUUUCUAAGACCAGGGAGGCAGCAACAGGCUGGGGCAUCCAGCAGCUGCAUCAAACCCCUCAAUGCAACCUCGUGCAUCUCAGCAGGGGAAGGGGCACAGGGCGAAAAGGCAAGAAGGAGAAAAAGGCAGUGAAGGCACUUUUGCAUAAGCUCAGAGAGGAGAGCUUGUGUCUAGGGCUUGCAUCACCAUGCAGCUGGGAUCAAACCCAGGCUGGCAACAUCACCCAAGCUGAUGCUUUAGCCCUGGGGGGCCCCUGACCUGCCUGUCCUGUACCAAACAUCCAGUGGGCACCAGCACCCUGCAGCUUCCUCAUCACAGGCGUGUCCUGCAGCUGCUUGGCAGAGCUGAAACAGCAGUCACCCAGGAAUCCAAAGCCAACAAAGCUGGAGGCACUUCACACACAUUACACAUAGAAAAGGUGCCCAGGCUGUGCCUAAAUAAAACUUUGUCUUCAGUUCCAGAGUUCUCAGAUCAGGAGGCUGAGGAGAGUGAUUUUGAGAAAAUAUAAUCUCAACCCCAGUUCAUCAGAAGGAAACAAAAAUACCUGAUGGCUAAUAUUUUAUUAGGUUUUGAUUAGAACAAUAGGGACUUUCUUUUUUUGCUACAGAUUUUUCCCCUUUCUUGUAUCUCUCAGGGGCAGAAAAUGCUGAAUCACAAACCUGGAGUUAAAAAAAAAAAGGUAUUUCAUAUGCAGAAGAAACGUAUCUUACAUAAUUUCAGGCUUCCUGCUCAGCUCUCUGGUGCCACGUUCCUCAUUUUCAGGCUGUUUUAAAGGUCAGCUUCACAGAACAAAUCCUGACCUCAGACAUGGGAAAUAUGCUGCCUCAUCACUCCAGGAUCUUUUCUCACAUGAUUAGUCUCAACAUUCCUGCAAGUAGAACAGUCCCCAUUGCCACUGCUGCAGACAUUAAACAAACAAACAAACAGAAAAGAAAAGAAAAAGGCAAGGUAUUUUUUUCUCUUCAUUCUCAAAGUUAAUGCUCACCAGCAUCACAGCCUUAUUUUACAGGCUGGGGGCUACUUCAGCACUGUAAUGCUAUUGCCAUCUACAGACAAGCAAUAGUCUUAACAAACACACAUACAAGUUAAAAUAGGAAUAUAUGCCUAAACUGAUAACUGUUUUUGAAAAAGCUUGACAGGACUUUAAAGAGGACUUUAUUUAAGAUUUUCCAAUGGCUAAGAUACAGGAUCUGGGCAAAAGUCAAUUGAAGACAGCAAUAACUCCUCAUGGUGUUUGUUUUAAUAUUGAUGAUGUAUUCAUUCAACUGGCUCCAAUUUUUCUGAAGAUUUUUAUUUUGAUACUAUAAUUUGAGCAGACAGAAGAGGUCACAUUAAGGGGCUGAUCCAGAAGACACAUGCAUACUCUGUUUAUUUUGAACAAACAAUCUGAACUUACUUGAAAUUACUACUAUCUAUUACCAAAGAGUGAUGGAAGGCACAGCCAUGAUGAACAAGCUCCAGUGCUACAGGAAAACUGAAGAUUAAUUUACUUGCUUAAUAAAGCUGAAAAUAUAAGAUUUCAAAAUUAAUAAAAAACCCAGUCAAUUA